rnacentral:lncRNA from 1 species
AAGAGUGAGAGUUGGUGCAAUUUUGAGGAACCGAAGCUCAACUUGGAGCCGUCUGCACUUGCUGAAUUCUAGAGGAAAGGAGUUCUUGUCCUUAGUUUAGCUACCCGAGAGACAUUAGGAGGAAAAGGAGAGAAGGACCAAAAGAAAGAAACAACAACAACAACUAGGAACUCAUUUCUGGCCUCCUUCAACCGUGAGAACCAGCA